AGUCCAAAUUAACAUGCCCUAAUCAGUAUUUCCAUGAUAGUUUUAUCUUCAAAGAAAUUCAACUGAAAUAGGCAAUUUAUUGGUUCGGUUAAAACCUAUAGGCAUCAUUAGUAAAUACAGCUUCUGACACGGCAUAUACAAACAGACUAAAUAUGAAAAGAUGAAGAGGACUAAAGUAAUAUCUGUAUCGAGUAUGACAUAAGAUUUUAAAACUUAAAAAAAGAAGAAAAAAAAA
rnacentral:misc_RNA from 1 species